rnacentral:rRNA from 1 species
AACGCGAAGAACCUUACCUGGCCUUGACAUGCAAGUAGUAGAAGGAUGAAAGUCUGACGAGGUAGCAAUACCAGCUUGCACAGGUGCUGCAUGGCUGUCGUCAGCUCGUGUCGUGAGAUGUUGGGUUAAGUCCCGCAACGAGCGCAACCCUUGUGUCCUGUUGCCACUCGAACGUGAGUUCGAAGCACUCUGGACAGACUGCCUCGCUUAAACGAGGAGGAAGGUGGGGAUGACGUCAAGUCAGUAUGGCCCUUACGGCCAGGGCUGCACACGUACUACAAUGCCCGGCACAAAGGGAAGCAAGACCGCAAGGUGGAGCAAAUCCCCAAAAACCGGGCCCAGUUCAGAUUGUUGUCUGCAACUCGACAGCAUGAAGCUGGAAUCGCUAGUAAUGGCGCAUCAGCUACGGCGCCGUGAAUACGUUCCCGGGCCUUGUACACACCGGUAUCUC